rnacentral:rRNA from 1 species
GCCCAGACUCCUACGGGAGGCAGCAGAGGGGAAUUUUGGACAAUGGGCGCAAGCCUGAUCCAGCCAUGCCGCGUGAGUGAAGAAGGCCUUCGGGUUGUAAAGCUCUUUCGGCCGGGACGAAAUCGCUUUCGCUAAUAUCGAGAGUGGAUGACGGUACCGGAAUAAGUAGCACCGGCUAACUACG